UACAUGUGGGGCAAGCGUUGUUCGGAAUUACUGGGCAUAAAGGGUGCGUAGGCGGCUUGUUAAGUCAGGGGUGAAAGUUUUCGGCCCAACCGGAAAAUUGCCUUUGAUACUGGCGAGCUUGAGUGCGUGAGGGGUAACCGGAACGAGUGGUGUAGCGGUGAAAUGCGUAGAUAUCAAGAGGAACACCUGAGGUGAAGACGGGUUGCUGGGCCGGACACUGACGCUGAUGCGCGAAAGCCAGGGGAGCAAACGGG
rnacentral:rRNA from 1 species